rnacentral:rRNA from 1 species
GGCUCAGGAUGAACGCUAGCUACAGGCUUAACACAUGCAAGUCGCGGGGUAACAUCUGGUAGAGCUUGCUCUUCCAGGAUGACGACCGGCGCACGGGUGAGUAACGCGUAUCCAACCUGGCCCAUACCACGGGAUAGCCCGUCGAAAGGCGGAUUAAUACCGUAUGCUGUCAUUAAGAUGCAUAUAUUGAUGACGAAAGGACUGGCGGUAUGGGAUGGGGAUGCGUCUGAUUAGCUUGUUGGCGGGGUAACGGCCCACCAAGGCGACGAUCAGUAGGGGUUCUGAGAGGAAGGUCCCCCACAUUGGAACUGAGACACGGUCCAAACUCCUACGGGAGGCAGCAGUGAGGAAUAUUGGUCAAUGGACGAGAGUCUGAACCAGCCAAGUAGCGUGCAGGACGACGGCCCUAUGGGUUGUAAACUGCUUUUAUGCGGGGAUAAAGUGGGGGAUGUAUCCCUUUUUGUAGGUACCGCAUGAAUAAGGACCGGCUAAUUCCGUG